GCAUGGCUGUCGUCAGCUCGUGUUGUGAAAUGUUGGGUUAAGUCCCGCAACGAGCGCAACCCUUAUCCUUUGUUGCCAGCGGUCCGGCCGGGAACUCAAAGGAGACUGCCAGUGAUAAACUGGAGGAAGGUGGGGAUGACGUCAAGUCAUCAUGGCCCUUACGACCAGGGCUACACACGUGCUACAAUGGCGCAUACAAAGAGAAGCGACCUCGCGAGAGCAAGCGGACCUCAUAAAGUGCGUCGUAGUCCGGAUUGGAGUCUGCAACUCGACUCCAUGAAGUCGGAAUCGCUAGUAAUCGUGGAUCAGAAUGCCACGGUGAAUACGUUCCCGGGCCUUGUACACACCGCCCGUCACACCAUGGGAGUGGGUUGCAAAAGAAGUAGGUAGCUUAACCUUCGGGAGGGCGCUUACCACUUUGUGAUUCAUGACUGGGGUGAAGUCGUAACAAGGUAACCGUAGGGGAACCUGCGGUUGGAUCACCUCCUU
rnacentral:rRNA from 1 species